GGUCAAGCGAAUAAGCGCACACGGUGGAUGCCUAGGCGGUCAGAGGCGAUGAAGGACGUGGUAGCCUGCGAAAAGUGUCGGGGAGCUGGCAACAAGCUUUGAUCCGGCAAUAUCCGAAUGGGGAAACCCACUGCUUCGGCAGUAUCCUGCAGUGAAUUCAUAGCUGCUGGAAGCGAACCCGGUGAACUGAAAUAUCUAAGUAACCGGAGGAAAAGAAAUCAACCGAGAUUCCCUAAGUAGUGACGAGCGAACGGGGAGCAGCCCUUAAGCUGGAAUGGCUUUAGAAAAACAAUCUGGAAAGAUUGGCCAUAGAAGGUGAUAGCCCUGUAUUUAAAAGGGCCACUCCAGUGAAGACGAGUAGGGCGGGGCACGUGAAACCCUGUCUGAAUAUGGGGGGACCAUCCUCCAAGGCUAAAUACUCCUGACCGACCGAUAGUGAACCAGUACCGUGAGGGAAAGGCGAAAAGAACCCCGGAGAGGGGAGUGAAAUAGAUCCUGAAACCGUGUGCGUACAAGCAGUAGGAGCUCGCAAGAGUGACUGCGUACCUUUUGUAUAAUGGGUCAGCGACUUACUGUUCGUGGCAAGCUUAACCGUAUAGGGGAGGCGAAGGGAAACCGAGUCUGAUAAGGGCGCAUAGUCGCGGGCAGUAGACCCGAAACCGGGUGAUCUAGUCAUGGCCAGGGUGAAGGUGCCGUAACAGGUACUGGAGGCCCGAACCCACGUCUGUUGCAAAAGACGGGGAUGAGCUGUGAUUAGGAGUGAAAAGCUAAUCGAACCCGGAGAUAGCUGGUUCUCCUCGAAAGCUAUUUAGGUAGCGCCUCAUAUGUAUCCUCUCGGGGGUAGAGCACUGUUAUGGCUAGGGGGUCAUCGCGACUUACCAAACCAUUGCAAACUCCGAAUACCGAGACGGACUGUAUGGGAGACACACGGCGGGUGCUAACGUCCGUCGUGAAAAGGGAAACAACCCAGACCCACAGCUAAGGUCCCAAAUUCACUGCUAAGUGGAAAACGAUGUGGAAAGGCAUAGACAGCCAGGAGGUUGGCUUAGAAGCAGCCACCCUUUAAAGAAAGCGUAAUAGCUCACUGGUCGAGUCGGUCUGCGCGGAAGAUUUAACGGGGCUAAGCAGUGAACCGAAGCUUGGGGUGCAUAAAACUUGUUUUAUGCGCGGUAGAGGAGCGUUCCGUAAGCCUGCGAAGGUGGAUUGAGAAGUCUGCUGGAGGUAUCGGAAGUGCGAAUGCUGACAUGAGUAACGAUAAUGCGGGUGAAAAGCCCGCACGCCGAAAGCCCAAGGUUUCCUUGCGCAACGUUAAUCGACGCAGGGUUAGUCGGUCCCUAAGGCGAGGGCGAAAGCCGUAGUCGAUGGGAAGCAGGUUAAUAUUCCUGCACCUCGCGUGAGUGCGAUGGAGGGACGGAGAAGGUUAGGUGUACCGGGCGUUGGUUGUCCCGGGGAAAGGCGGUAGGUUUGGAUCUUUGGCAAAUCCGGGAUCCUUUAAGACCGAGCACCGAGACGAGCCUUUAUGGCGAAGUCACUGAUACCACGCUUCCAGGAAAAGCUCCUAAGCUUCAGCUCACGAAGACCGUACCGUAAACCGACACAGGUGGGUAGGAUGAGAAUUCUCAGGCGCUUGAGAGAACUCGGGUGAAGGAACUAGGCAACAUGGCACCGUAACUUCGGGAGAAGGUGCACCCUUUUUGGUGGCUCGUGCGAGCUAUAGCUGAAGAGGGUCGCAGAAACCAGGCCGCUGCGACUGUUUAUCAAAAACACAGCACUCUGCAAACACGAAAGUGGACGUAUAGGGUGUGACGCCUGCCCGGUGCUGGAAGGUUAAUUGAUGGGGUCAGCCGCAAGGCGAAGCUCUUGAUCGAAGCCCCAGUAAACGGCGGCCGUAACUAUAACGGUCCUAAGGUAGCGAAAUUCCUUGUCGGGUAAGUUCCGACCUGCACGAAUGGCGUAACGACAGCGGCGCUGUCUCCACCCGAGACUCAGUGAAAUUGAAAUCGCUGUGAAGAUGCAGCGUUCCCGUGGCAAGACGGAAAGACCCCGUGAACCUUUACUAUAGCUUUACACUGAACGUUGAGUUCGUCUGUGUAGGAUAGGUGGGAGGCUAUGAAACUGUGGCGCUAGCUGCAGUGGAGCCAUCCUUGAAAUACCACCCUGUCGUGCUUGACGUUCUAACCUAGGUCCGUUAUCCGGAUCAGGGACCGUGUAUGGUGGGUAGUUUGACUGGGGCGGUCUCCUCCUAAAGAGUAACGGAGGAGCACGAAGGUACGCUCAGCGCGGUCGGACAUCGCGCACUGUGUGCAAAGGCAUAAGCGUGCUUGACUGCAAGAUCGACGGAUCAAGCAGGUACGAAAGUAGGUCUUAGUGAUCCGGUGGUUCUGUAUGGAAGGGCCAUCGCUCAACGGAUAAAAGGUACUCCGGGGAUAACAGGCUGAUACCGCCCAAGAGUUCAUAUCGACGGCGGUGUUUGGCACCUCGAUGUCGGCUCAUCACAUCCUGGGGCUGUAGUCGGUCCCAAGGGUAUGGCUGUUCGCCAUUUAAAGUGGUACGCGAGCUGGGUUCAGAACGUCGUGAGACAGUUCGGUCCCUAUCUGCCAUGGGCGUUGGAAGUUUGAGAGGGGCUGCUCCUAGUACGAGAGGACCGGAGUGGACGAACCUCUGGUGUUCCGGUUGUCACGCCAGUGGCAUUGCCGGGUAGCUAUGUUCGGAAGCGAUAACCGCUGAAAGCAUCUAAGCGGGAAGCGCGCCUCAAGAUGAGACUUCCCGGGGCACAAGCCCCCUAAAGGAACCAUGUAGACUACGUGGUUGAUAGGUCAGGUGUGUAAGUACAGCAAUGUAUUGAGCUAACUGAUACUAAUGAUCCGUGCGGCUUGACCAU
rnacentral:rRNA from 9 species